rnacentral:rRNA from 1 species
AUACGGAGGGUGCAAGCGUUAUCCGGAUUUACUGGGUUUAAAGGUUGCGCAGGCGGCGAUGUAAGUCAGUGGUGAAAGGCUGCCGCUUAACGGUAGGACUGCCAUUGAUACUGCAUUGCUUGAGUAUGGUUGAGGUAAGCGGAAUGUGUGGUGUAGCGGUGAAAUGCAUAGAUAUCACACAGAACACCGAUUGCGAAGGCAGCUUACUAAGCCAUUACUGACGCUGAGGCACGAAAGCGUGGGUAGCGAACAGGAUUAGAAACCCUAGUAGUCC